AGUUUGGUUCCUGGUUUCUGGCUGCUGUCUUCUGGCAAAGCACUUCGGACUUCGGAAUCAGCCUCUUUGGACCAUCAGAGGGAAGACUGCUCCUGCCUUUGAGAUCUGUCAGAGGCUGGCCACUGGAGACCUUCUGAGUACCUUUCAUUUUCAGCACUGUCCCGAGCUGAAUCAUAUGUUGUUCUGCUAUUUAUUUGCAACUCAUGGGAUGUUGGAGAACACUGGACAGCAGCUGAAGAUGGAAUUUACAUAUGGGAGCUCUGUCGGGGAGACUCAAACCAUCUCCUUGCUCACUCUGUCUGGUCUUGGAAGAAACAGGGAAUAGGUAUAUUGAACUUUUUCCAGGUUCAUCUGUGCACUCACACAGUGCCUUGGGAAAAUCUAAGUUAUAUUGUCAGAAGCCACGUAACCAUAGAAAGGUAAGAGAGAGAACUGGAACAGACCCAUCCCUAUGUCGUGAAAGACGCCAUGCCUUCUAAUAAUUUGUUCCCUGACUUCUGGACUCUGAAACAGUGGGAUGAUCAACAUCUGUGGCUAAACUUCUCAGUUUAUGGUAUUUGUCACCAUGGUUCCAAAGCCACAAAUACAGACUCCCAUGGAAUCUCCAGCUAGAGCCUCCAGCCUUCCCAUCUUCCUAAGAGGGUCAGGAGGGGACGUGUAGACACACAUAAGGAAGGUAGAAGGAUAUGAAAGGAAUAGUGUGGGGUAAAAUUGAACAGGCUGUGUCUGACAGACAGUAGGCUCCUGGUAUGAGAAAGCCUGUUGCGGGGUAUGGAAUGAGGCAUCCAGAGGAAGCUGGAUGAGGUUCUAAAACUGUGAGCACCAAGUAAGAACUGAGGAGGUGAGAUUUGGGUGUUCCUCAGAGGUGUUAAAAGGACAGAGACAGCAUCAUUCAGGAAAUGUGGAGGUUGGCAUAGAUCUUUCUAGUGACCGAGGUACCUUGAUUCCACUUUGAUAUUAGUUCAAUUACUGACAUAUAAUAGGAUCAAGAAAUUUAAUGAUUUCAUAUCAAAAGUAGAACAUGUGCUGAUGUGGUUUGGCGACAAAGAAGUGAAGACUUAGGGCCUUCUCUCCAGCUGUAGUCUCAGCUAUGCAACUUUCAUAAUAUUGGAUGUUGGACCUCAUUUA